UACAGAGGGUGCGAGCGUUAAUCGGAAUUACUGGGCGUAAAGCGUGCGUAGACGGUUAUUUAAGUCGGGUGUGAAAGCCCCGGGCUCAACCUGGGAAUUGCACUCGAGACUGAAUAGCUAGGGUACGGUAGAGGGAAGCGGAAUUUCCGGUGUAGCGGUGAAAUGCGUAGAUAUCGGAAGGAACAUCAGUGGCGAAAGCGGCUUCCUGGACCAGUACCGACGUUCAGGCACGAAAGCGUGGGGAGCAAACAGG
rnacentral:rRNA from 1 species